rnacentral:rRNA from 1 species
UUUGUCCUACGGGAGGCAGCAGUGGGGAAUAUUGCACAAUGGGGGAAACCCUGAUGCAGCGACGCCGCGUGAGUGAAGAAGUAUUUCGGUAUGUAAAGCUCUAUCAGCAGGGAAGAUAAUGACGGUACCUGACUAAGAAGCCCCGGCUAACUACGUGCCAGCAGCCGCGGUAAUACGUAGGGGGCAAGCGUUAUCCGGAUUUACUGGGUGUAAAGGGAGCGUAGGUGGCAGGGCAAGUCAGAUGUGAAAACCCGGGGCUCAACCCCGGGAGUGCAUUUGAAACUGUCCAGCUGGAGUGCAGGAGG